AUGGUGUGCUUUACCUGUGGAGGUCCUGGUCACUACGUUGGCAAUUGCAUCCAGAAGAAGAUCUGCUUCAUCUGUGGCCUGGAGGGACACAAUGUCAACAAUUGCGCGGCCUAGGCGCAACCUCACCCAGUUGCCACUUUCUUCGGCAGCUCUGCUUUGGGUCUGGGAUUCUAUCACAUCGACGCUCCGGUGGGUCGUGAAGCGAGUUGGCUUAAUUUCAGAAACUGUGGUGAAGUAUGGGUUAUGAAAGGCGAAAUCAACAAGUCUGAUCUGGUUAAGAACUUGUCUGGUAUAUUUUGCAAGAACAAGCAAUCGACAUGGCAGAUCAGGCCAUUGAUAGAGAAAAAGUUCCUGGUCAGAUUCCCACCCUGGAAAGAUGUGGAAGAGUUGAUUGAGUUUCCUGCUUUCGACUUGCCUAUCGAUGGAGUUUCUGUGUCUGUUGAGAAGUGGACCGGUGCAAUCGACCCAUUCAGCGAACUUACUGAAGCUUGGGUGAUUAUUGAGGGGCUCUCAUCUAAAUGGUGCACAUGGAAGGUCCUAUCACAGAUUGCAUCUUGCUUUGGAAUCUUGGUUGAUGUGGAUUGGAACGGCUUAAUGAAGAGUUUCUAUGAGAAGGUGAGAGUCAAGAUUGCAUGCAGAGACCCAGCCAAGAUCCCAUUUGAAUGGAUCAUGGAGAUGAGGAAAAAACUAUAUAUCUUGUCAUUUAUAGUGGAGGGUUUUGACCAGAUAGGGGCUGAUGAUCCUAAUGAUGACAAUGGACCUACUGACAUCGCUGUGGACGAUGACAACAAAGCAAAUGAUGAUGAGGAACUG
rnacentral:rRNA from 1 species